rnacentral:sRNA from 1 species
GCGCAGCGAGAAAGCGUUGCCGCAGGCAACGACCCGAAGGGCGAAGCGCGCAGCGCUGAGUCAUCCUUCCCCCAUAGGCA